ensembl:lncRNA
AUCCAAGCCACUCAGCCAAUAGCUCAGAUAAAAAUUUGUGGACCUACACAAGUACAAUUCUGCCUUAGGAGCAAACAACUGAAGGUACUACAUGCAUUUGUAAAAAAAACAAUUGUUUGCAAAUUAAAAAAUCUUAGGACCACACAGACACAUUGUUCAGGAAGAAGGUAGAAAUGAUCUACAAAGGAUGAACGAACUUUGGUCCAGAAGAAUCAACUGAACCCCAAGACAACAACAGAGGAACUGGUGAAGGAGUUGGAGGCAUCAGGUACCACAGUAUGUGCAUCCACCAUUAAGAGAGAUCUACAUUGUCAUGGCCUGAAGACACCUCAAAACAUCAGCCAGACAUUUUAAACUUGGUUUCAAUGGAGUCUUCUAGCAGGACAAUGAUUCUAAGCAUACCUCCAAAAAUUGCUUAAAGACAACAAAAUGAAAGUAUUGGAGCAUUCAUCAGAAAGCCUAGAUGUGAAUACCAUUCAAAAUGUGUGGUCUGAACUGAAAAGGCAUGUCCAAGCAAGGCCCACAACCCUGACCCAGUUACACCAGUUUUAUCAGGAGGAAAUGAAAGUAUAGUGAGAAGCUUGUGGACGGCUUGCCCCAAGCAUAUGAUUCAAGACACCAUGCACCUGUGUCCUACUGCACCAAGAAAAGCUAUUCUCUUGAUCAGCACAGUGCAUAAAGAUGCAACUGUGAGUGACAGACAAGACAAAAAACAGGAUGGAUGAUCAGAACAAUGGCAAAAUGGACUUGAGGAGAAUUUCCUUGGAGCAGUUUGGUCAGGGAAGUCUCAAAUAGAGAGGAGAUAGCAUCUUCCCAGAUCACAUCUGGCACCAAGACAUUAGCAGCAGAUCCUUUUAAGUCCUGCAAAUUGUGAGGUGGGGCCUCCAUGAAUUAGACAUGUUUGUCUAGCAUGUCCCACAGAUGUUUGUUUGGACUGAGAUCUGGGGAAUUUUGAGGUCAACACCAUGAACUCUUUGUCGCACGUCAAACCAUUCCUGAGCAUUUUUGCAGUGUGGCAGGGUGCAUUAUCCUACUGAAAGUAGCCACUGUCAUUAGGGAAUACCGUAGCCAUGAAGGGGUAUACUUGGUCUGCAACAAUAUUUAGGCAGGUGGUAUGUUUCAAAGUAACAUCCACAUGAAUGCUAGGACCCAAGGUUUCAACACAACAUUUCCCAGAGUAUCACACUGCCUCUGCACUGUGUGUUCUGACACCUUUCUAUCAUAGCCAG